rnacentral:rRNA from 1 species
AUUGAACGCUGGCGGCAGGCCUAACACAUGCAAGUCGAGCGGCAGCGGGAAAGUAGCUUGCUACUUUUGCCGGCGAGCGGCGGACGGGUGAGUAAUGCCUGGGAAAUUGCCCAGUCGAGGGGGAUAACAGUUGGAAACGACUGCUAAUACCGCAUACGCCCUACGGGGGAAAGCAGGGGACCUUCGGGCCUUGCGCGAUUGGAUAUGCCCAGGUGGGAUUAGCUAGUUGGUGAGGUAAUGGCUCACCAAGGCGACGAUCCCUAGCUGGUCUGAGAGGAUGAUCAGCCACACUGGAACUGGGACACGGUCCAGACUCCUACGGGAAGCAGCAGUGGGGAAUAUUGCACAAUGGGGGAAACCCUGAUGCAGCCAUGCCGCGUGUGUGAAGAAGGCCUUCGGGUUGUAAAGCACUUUCAGCGAGGAGGAAAGGUCAGUAGCUAAUAUCUGCUGGCUGUGACGUUACUCGCAGAAGAAGCACCGGCUAACUCCGUGCCAGCAGCCGCCGUAAAAC